rnacentral:lncRNA from 1 species
CUCACUCCACCGCCUCACUAUUCCCUCUUCAAUAUAUCUCCUCCGCUGCACUCUCUCUCAUUCACUCAAUUCAUCUCUCUCGUUCCAACACCCGAAGAGAACAACAAGAAUUCAAGUGAGCAUACAAUCUGUGUUUCUACAUACAUCAGAGCAUGAUUUAUAAAAGAAGAAAGAAGGAGUCUUGAGCUUUGUUUUUGCUUGUCGUGUUUGGGUGUUUUACUGUUGUGAAGAAUCGAUUUAACCAAAAAUGGAGUCUUGAUCUCGCUUUUGAGCCGAGAGUGUGUGUUCUGUUGGGCUGGGUCGGAGCUCGGCGACGACGGCGGCGGCCUGGCAGCUGCUGUCCGUCGAAGCUAGAGGGGAAAGAGGGCAGGCGGCGGUCGGCGGUGGCUCCGCGCCACUGUCAGCCGGAGUGCGCAGAAGGUGAGAGGGCCGUGAGACAGAGGGAGGCGCGGCACGGCGGCUCCGCCCGCUGCUGUCGGGCUAAGGACGGAGAGAGAGAGAGGGAGGCAGGAGCUAGGGCUUUUCAGAGAGGGGGAGAAGGCGGCGGCUCUCCAGCCGUCGAGAGAGCCGGGCAUGGCGGUGGUGGCCGGCUCUUCGCUGCUGCUGCCGUCGACUGCCGGAGUCGAAAAAAAGGGAGGGGGCGACGGCUUCCAGUUCGUGUGGGUGUGUGAGCUGUCGUGAGAGAGGGAGACAGAAGGAAAGGAAGGUCAGGGGCGGCGGCGGCAGCGGCCGGAGGCCGGCUGCUGUCGUCCGCCGGAAGAGGGAAAGGGGGGGGAGCUGGGCGGUUGUGUGGUGUGAGUGUGUGCGUGUGUUUCUGAUUUUGUGUGGUGUGAGUGUGUGCGUGUGUUUCUGAUUUUGUGUGGUGUGAGUGUGUGCGUGUGUUUCUGAUUUUGUGUGUGUGUGUGUGCGUGACUUAGGUGAAGAAGAAGGGAUGGGGGCUUUUGGGCUUGAGCUUGGGCUUUGCUUUUCUUUUUGUUGGGCCGAAAUUUAUUUAGUGUUGGGCUGUUAAUUCCUUUUAACUGGGCUUGUUUUAAUUAUUAAGAGCAUGGGCUGUGCAGUUUUAAUUUAAAUGGACUGCACUAUUUA